rnacentral:rRNA from 1 species
ACGGGUGAGGAACACGUAGGAACCUGCCUAGAAGCGGGGGACAACCAAGGGAAACUUUGGCUAAUACCGCAUAAUCUCGAGAGAGAAAAGGCGCCCGCAAGGGUGUCACUUCUAGAAGGGCCUGCGUCCGAUUAGCUAGUUGGUGGGGUAAAAGCCCACCAAGGCGAUGAUCGGUAACUGGUCUGAGAGGACGACCAGUCACACUGGGACUGAGACACGGCCCAGACUCCUACGGGAGGCAGCAGUGGGGAAUAUUGGACAAUGGGGGCAACCCUGAUCCAGCGAUGCCGCGUGGGUGAAGAAGGCCUUCGGGUUGUAAAGCCCUUUAGGUCGGGAAGAAGUUGAUUAGUUUAAUAGACUAGUUGAUUGACGGUACCGACAGAAUAAGCACCGGCAAACUCUGUGCCAGCAGCCGCGGUAAUACAGAGGGUGCAAGCGUUAAUCGGAGUUACUGGGCGUAAAGGGCGCGUAGGCGGUCAGAUAUGUGUGAUGUGAAAGCCCUGGGCUUAACCUAGGAAGUGCAUCGCAAACUGUUUGACUGGAGUAUAUGAGAGGGUGGCGGAAUUUCCGGU